CUUACCAUGCAGUCGAGCGGUAACAGGGGGUGCUUGCCCCCGCUGACGAGCGGCGGACGGGUGAGUAAUGCACAUGAGACUGCCCCCUAUUGGGGGAUAGCCCGGGGAAACCCGGAUUAUUACCGCGUACGCCCUUCGGGGGAAAGCAGGGGAUCUUCGGACCUUGCGCUAUUGGAUGUGCCUAUGUCGGAUUACCUAGUUGGUGGGGUAAAGGCCUACCCCGGCGACGAUCCGUAGCUGGUCUGAGAGGAUGAUCAGCCCCAUCGGGACUGAGACACGGCCCGAACUCCUACGGGAGGCAGCAGUGGGGAAUAUUGGACAAUGGGGGCAACCCUGAUCCAACCCUGCCGCGUGUGUGAAGAAAGCUUUCGGGUUGUAAAGCACUUUCGCUGAGGAGGAAAAGUUGGUCGUUAAUACCGGCCAGCCUUGACGUUACUCACAGAAGAAGCACCGGCUAACUCCGUGCCAGCAGCCGCGGUAAUACGGAGGGUGCGAGCGUUAAUCGGAAUUACUGGGCGUAAAGCGCGCGUAGGUGGUUUGAUAAGCGAGAUGUGAAAGCCCCGGGCUUAACCUGGGAACGGCAUUUCAAACUGUCAGGCUAGAGUAUGGUAGAGGAGUGUGGAAUUUCCUGUGUAGCGGUGAAAUGCGUAGAUAUAGGAAAGAACACCAGUGGCGAAGGCGGGUCUCUGGACCAGUACUGACACUGAUGGUGCGAAAGCGUGGGGAGCAAACAGGAUUAGAUACCCCUGGUAGUCCACGCCGUAAACGAUGUCUACUAGCCGUUGGGGACU
rnacentral:rRNA from 1 species